rnacentral:lncRNA from 1 species
CUUGAAUUCUGACCCAGCUGGAGGUGGGGUGGGGGCUCUCCUGACGCCUUGAUCCGGAUCCAGCCUGCCUGUCCUGCACUCUGUCGGGGCCUUCUGCAUUUGGAGCACUUCUCAUCGGGAGUGAAAUGGUAAAUUGUGUGCUCAUUGGUCAAUGCCUGGGUCUCCUGCUGGCCUGUAGGCCCCACGGGGGCAAGGAAUGCCUUCUUUCCUGUGCAGCCCCUGCACCUGCCAUACCACCUGCUGGGCAGUGGGCAUCCAGUACAGUGGGUGCUCGGGUACAUGGAUGCACGGGUAUAUGGGUGCACGGGUACAUGGGUGCACGGGUGCCAGGGAAUUGUGUUACAGUCUUGGAUGUGGCUGCCUGUACAUGCCUGCCUUGGAGACAAGAAAGCAAAGCCAUAGAUCGUAAAUUUGUGGGUCUCUGAAACGGUAGGCCAGAGCUGUCUAGUUUAGAUUCUGGCCUUUAUUUGUGGGAACUGAUUUUGAUCUGUAAAUCCUCUCAGGGUAGUCCCUACCCCAACCAGUUCCUCCACACUUUAUCUCAUUAUAAAGGAAGCUUGGAGAUGCACAAAUCUUAUCAUCCUCCCCAGAAGGAGGGAGGUCAGGCUGGUAAGAACCCGGCGACCAGCUGGUAGUAUAGUGGAAGGCCCAUCCUCACCCGGGUCUUUAUUAAAGUCCCCCUAGGGUCCUCCCGGAAGGGGUGCUCCCCUUCCUGCCUUCUGUUUUGUGUGUGGAGGAGUGUGUAGUUACCAGCAGCUGCAAAUAAGGUAGACUCUGGACUGGCCCUAGAUUCAGUGCCCGGAGGCAGGUGGCUCAGACGCCACACAGGGAGCCGUGUCCUUUCUGUUCAAAGGAUACAUCCAGUGCCCUGUGAUUGGAUGCCGCAGGCUGGAGCAGCAGUUGGAGGCCGGGACUCUUUGCAGAUAAGGAGCCUCUGUAGCUUUCAGAACUGCAACAGUUUGACCAUUUCCCAGGCAAAUCCACAAAGAAGCAAAAAUGUUCACAAGCAGGUUCACUCCUGGAAGCAGAAUUGGACAGUUGAAUGGGUUUAUGUGUUCUUAUUCCUAUUGGUUUCCACAGAGAUGGCAAACCAAUGAAGAAUCAUGUCAUCCCCUGAGAUCCGCAGAGCAUGGUGUUCCUCAGGGGACUCAAGGCUGCCUUCGAGUUUUUGGAGAGACUGGAAACAAUCUUACCUUGCUCCCAGCCAGACCUCCGGGGUCCUGGACACCUGCUUUCAACAUGCAGAAAUUCCUGAGACACGUUAUCUCCCCCGCCCCAAACCUGAGAGUAUACAAUCAGUCUGGCCUCGCAAUCCCAGGGCAGUGCUCGCCCACAGGUCUGUCCCCACACUGCAAUAAAAGCUGCUCCGAAGAUGUCUCAGUUCUUUCUUGA